rnacentral:rRNA from 1 species
AUUGAACGCUGGCGGCAGGCCUAACACAUGCAAGUCGAGCGGUAGAGAGAAGCUUGCUUCUCUUGAGAGCGGCGGACGGGGUGAGUAAUGCCUAGGAAUCUGCCUGGUAGUGGGGGAUAACGUUCGGAAACGGACGCUAAUACCGCAUACGUCCUACGGGAGAAAGCAGGGGACCUUCGGGCCUUGCGCUAUCAGAUGAGCCUAGGUCGGAUUAGCUAGUUGGUGAGGUAAUGGCUCACCAAGGCGACGAUCCGUAACUGGUCUGAGAGGAUGAUCAGUCACACUGGAACUGAGACACGGUCCAGACUCCUACGGGAGGCAGCAGUGGGGAAUAUUGGACAAUGGGCGAAAGCCUGAUCCAGCCAUGCCGCGUGUGUGAAGAAGGUCUUCGGAUUGUAAAGCACUUUAAGUUGGGAGGAAGGGUUGUAGAUUAAUACUCUGCAAUUUUGACGUUACCGACAGAAUAAGCACCGGCUAACUCUGUGCCAGCAGCCGCGGUAAUACAGAGGGUGCAAGCGUUAAUCGGAAUUACUGGGCGUAAAGCGCGCGUAGGUGGUUUGUUAAGUUGGAUGUGAAAUCCCCGGGCUCAACCUGGGAACUGCAUUCAAAACUGACUGACUAGAGUAUGGUAGAGGGUGGUGGAAUUUCCUGUGUAGCGGUGAAAUGCGUAGAUAUAGGAAGGAACACCAGUGGCGAAGGCGACCACCUGGACUAAUACUGACACUGAGGUGCGAAAGCGUGGGGAGCAAACAGG